UUUCAAAUGUGCACCUGGAGUAGUUGCCUGGGAUGGUUCAGUCAGGAACAAUCCUGCCCUGAGCAGGGAGCUGGGCCAGAUGACCUCCUGACAUCCCUUCCAGCCACAC